GCGUCGUAGUCCGGAUUGGAGUCUGCAACUCGACUCCAUGAAGUCGGAAUCGCUAGUAAUCGUGGAUCAGAAUGCCACGGUGAAUACGUUCCCGGGCCUUGUACACACCGCCCGUCACACCAUGGGAGUGGGUUGCAAAAGAAGUAGGUAGCUUAACCUUCGGGAGGGCGCUUACCACUUUGUGAUUCAUGACUGGGGUGAAGUCGUAACAAGGUAACCGUAGGGGAACCUGCGGUUGGAUCACCUCCUUACCUUAAAGAA
rnacentral:rRNA from 1 species